rnacentral:tRNA from 1 species
GGCGAGUUAGCUCAGUGGUAGAGCACGUAUGAAACCCAGGAUUCCUGUACUUGAAUCCCGCAGCAACUAUAACUCUCAAGCCUUUUAAGCUCGUGGUCGGGGCGUUCGAAUCCCCCACUCGCCG